GAAAGUUUCGGCGGUUACAGAUGGGCAUGCGUUGUAUUAGCUGGUUGGUAAGGUAACGGCUUACCAAGGCGACGAUACAUAGGGGGACUGAGAGGUUAACCCCCCACAUUGGUACUGAGACACGGACCAAACUCCUACGGGAGGCAGCAGUGAGGAAUAUUGGUCAAUGGACGGAAGUCUGAACCAGCCAUGCCGCGUGCAGGAAGACGGCUCUAUGAGUUGUAAACUGCUUUUGUACAAGGGUAAACCUGAAUACGUGUAUUCAGCUGAAAGUACUGUACGAAUAAGGAUCGGCUAACUCCGUGCCAGCAGCCGCGGUAAUACGGAGGAUCCAAGCGUUAUCCGGAUUUAUUGGGUUUAAAGGGUGCGUAGGCGGAUUGAUAAGUUAGAGGUGAAAUGUCCGAGCUCAACUCGGGAACUGCCUCUAAUACUGUUGAUCUAGAGAGUAGAUGCGGUAGGCGGAAUGUAUGGUGUAGCGGUGAAAUGCUUAGAGAUCAUACAGAACACCGAUUGCGAAGGCAGCUUACCAAUCUAUAUCUGACGUUGAGGCACGAAAGCGUGGGGAGCAAACAGGAUUAGAUACCCUGGUAGUCCACGCAGUAAACGAUGAUAGCUCGUUGUCGGCGAUACAC
rnacentral:rRNA from 1 species